ACUCAAAUGAAUAGACGGGGGCCCGCACAAGCGGUGGAGCAUGUGGUUCAAUUCGAAGCAACGCGCAGAACCUUACCAGCCCUUGACAUGUCCUCUAUGGAUCCCAGAGACGGGAUUCUUCACUUCGGGUGGGAGGAACACAGGUGCUGCAUGGCUGUCGUCAGCUCGUGUCGUGAGAUGUUGGGUUAAGUCCCGCAACGAGCGCAACCCUCGUCCUUAGUUGCCAUCAUUUAGUUGGGCACUCUAAGGAGACUGCCGGUGAUAAGCCGGAGGAAGGUGGGGAUGACGUCAAGUCCUCAUGGCCCUUACGGGCUGGGCUACACACGUGCUACAAUGGCGGUGACAGAGGGAUGCGAAGGAGCGAUCCUUGGCAAAUCUCAAAAAGCCGUCUCAGUUCGGAUUGGGGUCUGCAACUCGACCCCAUGAAGUUGGAAUCGCUAGUAAUCGCGGAUCAGAACGCCGCGGUGAAUACGUUCCCGGGCCUUGCACACACCGCCCGU
rnacentral:rRNA from 1 species